rnacentral:rRNA from 1 species
AGCGAACGCUUGCGGCCGGCCUAACACAUGCAAGUCGAACGAAUGCUUCGGACUUAUUGGCGGACGGGUGAGUAACACGUUGGAACGUGCCUUUAGGUUCGUAAUGUCUCAGGGAUACUGGUGCUAAUAGCGAAUUUGCCCUUCGGGGGACAGGUUUAUCGCCUUUAGAGCGGCCCGCGUCUGAUUAGCUAGUUGGUGAGUUAAAGGCUCACCAAGGCUACGAUCAGUAGCUGGGAUGUGAGGAUGACCAGCCACAUUGGGACUGAGACACGGCCCAAACUCCGCCCGGAGGAAGCAGUGGGGAAUCUUGCGCAAUGGGCGAAAGCCUGACGCAGCCAUGCCGCGUGGAUGAUGAAGGGCUUAGGAUUGUAAAAUCCUUUCACCGGUGAAGAUAAUGACUGUAGCCGGAGAAGAAGCCCCGGCUAACUUCGUGCCAGCCGCCGCCGUAACAC